AGAGUUUGAUCAUGGCUCAGGACGAACGCUGGCGGNNNNNUUAACACAUGCAAGUCGAGCGAGAACCGAAGCCUUCGGGCAUCGGGGAAAGCGGCGAACGGGUGAGUAACACGUGGGCAACCCACCCUUGGUACUGGGAUAGCCCGGGGAAACCCGGAUUAAUACCGGAUGGCCCAGCAGCUUUUCGGGGCGGCUGGAAAAGGGAGCUUCGGCCUCCGACCAAGGACGGGCCCGCGGCGGAUUAGCUUGUUGGUGGGGUAACGGCUCACCAAGGCGACGAUCCGUAGCUGGUCUGAGAGGACGAUCAGCCACACUGGGACUGAGACACGGCCCAGACUCCUACGGGAGGCAGCAGUGGGGAAUCUUGCGCAAUGGGCGAAAGCCUGACGCAGCGACGCCGCGUGGGGGAAGAAGGCUUUCGGGUUGUAAACCCCUUUCAGGAAGGACGAAGCUCCUCGGGUGAAUAGCCCAGAGGGUGACGGUACUUCCAGAAGAAGCCCCGGCUAACUACGUGCCAGCAGCCGCGGUAAUACGUAGGGGGGCAAGCGUUGUCCGGAUUUAUUGGGCGUAAAGAGCGUGUAGGCGGCCAUGUAGGUCCGUUGUGAAAACUCGAGGCUCAACCUCGAGACGCCGAUGGAAACCAUGUGGCUAGAGUCCGGAAGAGGAGAGUGGAAUUCCUGGUGUAGCGGUGAAAUGCGCAGAUAUCAGGAAGAACACCCGUGGCUAAGGCGGCUCUCUAGUACGGUACUGACGCUGAGNNGCGAAAGCGUGGGGAGCGAACAGGAUUAGAUACCCUAGUAGUCC
rnacentral:rRNA from 1 species